CUACAAUACUUUAGGGCAAACAAGACUAUAGACAGAGAACUCAUGCUUUCUGAAUGCAUUGUCUGAGCAUAAGGGACACCCGUGGUGGAAUGACUCGUGCCUGCCUGAUAACCAGCCUUGAAAUACUGCAGGAGUGAAAUGGAUGUCACUGCCUUUUGACCCUGAGGGUUAGAGUGUUUCAGAUGCAGGAGAUGUAUAUACAAUUAACCGCAUGGAGUGUUCCAUAUCUCCUCUCAAACAGAUCAAAGAGAGGAUUGAUUUAUGUACAAGUGGCCCACAGGGAAGAAACAGUUGAGGUGUAGUAGCUCUUUGAAGAAAUAUCACAGAAAGCAGAAUUAACAUGGGUAACCAGACACGAUUCUUCACUUGUUUCAUUAAUACUGCAGAUAAAAAUAACUAUGCAAUUUUGAUUUUCAACUCUCGACCUGAACUGUUACAGCAGUAUAGGUGGUAUAAAGAAGAUAAAUCAGGUGACCUUGUUCUCCAUUUAUAAUGGUCAAAAAUACACAUUUAAAGCAAAUAAAUACUCAAUCACACUUUGGAAUUAAUUGUAUCAAAUAAGCUAAAGAGAGACUGGUAUAAAGUGUUCUUAUGAAUUUUGAGAUUCUGAUCAGUCACAUUUGUUUAGGAGAGAGUUUUUUUUUCUCACGGGGUGUCUCCAUUUGCUGCAUUAUCUCAAACAAAGAACAAGAUCUGAAUUUUUUAGAAGAAGGAUAUGUAAACUCAAUAGGGAACAUUUAUUUCUAUUCAAAAUGAUUUGGUUGGCUCAUGCCCUGAAGAAUGAUGGCUUGUAUUAGAGAAGAGUAAUUAGUUAUAGCAAGUCAUUAUCUUUUAAAAAGAAAUAUCGUUUCUUGCAAGACAAGCAUCCAAUAUAUAACCAAUCUGACAGCAGACCUUAAAACAAAUUGAGGUCAAAUCAUGUUAUAUGGUUAGAAAAUUUAGUUUAUGGAAUACAAGCAAAAGAUUCUAUUUUUUCCUCUUAAACAAAAAUGUGUAUCAGACAGUAACAUAGUUCUUGACACAUAGAAUUUGGCCCCCGGAUCAGAAAUGUAUGUCACAGACAGAUUGGAUGUUCCAUUGUACUGCCAUUCCCAUUCCAUUGGUUGCAGCAUCCAAUUUUUUUGUUCAACUGUCAUUAUGAAACAGCUAUUUGUUUUGAGAAAUUACUAACAAUGGGUGUAUUUUGCUCUGUUUUCUAACAGAAACACAGGAGAGUGAGAAUGGCAGCAGGGUAGGGGAUUGUUACAGCUGAAGUAAUCCUUACUUGCAAAUUUCUUCUGCCUUUUGAUCUGUCAGCAAGUCCCUCUUCACAGCAGAUGCAAUUUCCAAUACGUUCGCAGCAACAGAGAUCUCUGCGGAAGUUGAAAAUGAGCAGUACUGACAGUCUAAUGUGUGAAGUUGAAGAGAGAUGUCUUGGAAAUUUGGGGCCCAAAUGGUACAAAGAAAAAGAAAAAUUGAAAAAAUUACAACAAUAUUUAAUUUACAAGUAUCUUUGUGAGUAUGUAAAAUGUAUAGUAAAUAGAGUUUUGGACAAAGGUCUUGGAACUAAGAAAGAUACGUAUUUUCUUUUUAGUAUCAUAGCAAACUACCCACCCAUUAAACUCCCCAGCCUCUGUUUUAAGAAGCUCAAGAGUUUGCCAGAACAUCAGAACACAAAAGAUCUGUAGAAAAUAUAGAUCUGCUAUUAGCAGCAGCAAAAUGCAGUAGGUCUGAUAGAAACUGUGCAAACACCCACACACAUAAAAAUCUGUUUUUGACUUUUACCACUGAUAAUCUUCCUCUCAAAAUCAAGGUGUUAUGUUCACAUCAGUAAAGAACAUCUUUCAUGAUUUGAUGCUCCAGACACAGAGCUGAAGAUGUAGAUUUCUCCUCUUUCUCCCCUCCUAUGUAAUGUUUUUUUCUCUCCUCUUCAUCCUCCAAAAAGAAAAAUGAGGCUUGAUGGAGCGUUUAGUUGUUGCUUUUUUUUUUGGUAGGAACUGUCUGUUAGGGCCAUGGAGAAGAUUGCCCAGGACACCCGAAGGCAUUAUUUUAUGCUAGUCAGCUGCAAGGUAUGGUUUUUAAAGCAUUCAUAAUAAAAAAUCUAAGAGCUGGUCAUUCUCAUUCCAAUUGUGAUCAAUGUAUAGUUGCGUAAUUAUAAAGUAGAAUACAAUUGAAAGUUUAUUUAAAUCACAAAAAAACAGCUUUCUUAAUGGGAAUCACACUGAAACUAGUUCUCAUUCAGAACUGAAUGAAUAAAAUAAAGGAACACUGACACCAUGGCCAAAACCUUCAACUGACUUUACAUUUGAUACAUAUAAAUAAUGUAAAGUUGCCAUAGAAAGCAGUCUGCGGGAUUUCUGAAACAUCAGUUAUUGUCGAGUGCUGAAAAGUACUUCAGGUUUCUUUUUCAUAGGGACCCAAAGCAAAUUCUCGUGGGUUUUUAUCAAAGAAAAGGCAGAAUUACUUCUGAAAUGCUGCUGAAUUCUCAUUAAGUUUGUAAUGCUUGCACAGUAUGCAACAUCUGCACUCUUCCUUUUUCCCCCAAAGAACAAGUACCACAUGCAAGAUGGAAUAUUAAUUGAUUUUUUCUUUUAUGCAUUUUUAGUAAUGCAAGUCACUUGAGGGAAAAACUUAAUUGCAAUGGCACAGCAUCCACAGAUUCUGAAUAGGCAGAGUAUAAUGAAUGAUUAAAUGUGAGGUCUCACUACUACGGUGGAAAAUUGAACAAACCUAAUGAUAUCAAUGGCUCUUUCAUUUUUGCAGAUUUCUAAUGAUUAAAUUAAAAUGGUGAGCCAAAAAUUUCUCCAGCAUAAAAACCACUUAAGAGUUCUUGUUAUAUGGAAGUGAAACAGAAGUUGUGAUUUCCAAACUUUUUGAAGUCCAGUAACCUCCAGAGGGUGUGACACUAGCAGUUGUGCUCCCAGCUACCUUGAAGCUGAUCUAUUUGCUGACAACCUGAGAAACAUGAAGCCCUUUGUCUCCAAAGGUCUCUAAGAUCCAAAGGGGCUUCGCAAUGGGUUUGUUACCAGUGUAGCAGGGGUACAUGCAGAGAAGAAACUCUUCAGUGUUUCUGUGGCUUAAAAAGAAAUCACAGCUCAUGGUGCUAUUUCAGAAACCUGCCCAGUGAUAUCACUGCAAGUCCAGGUGUAAGGAGAUUCCAUAUGGAUGUUAGACCCAUUCAGAGCUCUUUCAUUAUAAACAACAGUUUCUAUGGUCCUAGGAAAAUUUUACACUUGAAAGAACCCACAUUUUUUUCUUCUGGCCAUUUCUCUACCACUGCUUACUCAAAUCAGUGUAGCUGAGGUCAUUUUGUAUUUCUUGUCUGAGGUUGUCAAAUUUAUUUUCAGCCUUGUCAAGUUCAGCCUUUGUUUUUUCCCUCUGUGCUAAGGGGACAUUUAGUAUAAGAGUGCUUCUGUUGGCAUUUCUUCUUCUGUCCCCCUUUUGACAUACUGCUUCUUGUGCCACAUAUUGCUCUGUGACUGCUUCUGGUUCAUUUUAAACCACAGACUGUUUUCUUUCUCUUCUUCAUUGUCUGUCUUACAACCCCUAAUGCAACCUUCAGACUCCCUGCAGAAAAGCAGUUUUUUAUGAUAUUUGGUUUGCAAUUCUUGCUUCAUCUGAUGUGAACCCAAGAAUUUGAUCAGAAUACCUUGAAAAGAAAAUUAUGCAAUUCUACAUCAGGAUUUGGGAAAAGUGUGGUAGCAUCUCUUACCAGUAGUAAAAUGCUCCUGGUGGUACACUCUGUAUCAUAAAAACCAUCUCAUCAGCUCUGAUGGCUUUUGAAAAACAAAAGCCAAGCACAGCAUUAAGGUAGAUUGAAAUAAAAAUAUUUUCAAGUGAUAUACUAUGGAAUGGAGAAUAGAUAAAUCCCACAAGGGCACAAUUUCAUUACUUAUUAAUCCCAUAAUUUACUUAACUUGAUAACUUACCUAUAGUCAGAUAUCUGUUCUUUCACUGAUCAGCAACUCAUGGUUCAGUUUUGUCAUAAUGCAAACCAUUCUGGGGGGCUCACUACCAGGAGUUAAACUGCUAUAGACAAAAUCUAUCAUAGGUAAAAUUUAAAAUGUAUUUAUAUUUUAUUUGUUUAUUUAACUUAUUUUAUAUUGUAUAAAUAUAAAAUACAUAAGUAUAAAACAUAAUAAAUAAAUAUAAAAGCCAAAAGGAAGUAGAAUGUAUAAAAACUAAAUGGAAAUUUGUAGAAAUUUGUUUCAGUGGUAUCAAUCUGAGUAUGGUUUUUAAAACUAUGUCCUCUUGGGAAUUUCAUAUUUUAAGAAUGAAUGUAGGAGCUGCUAAGUCAUUCUGAAAUCAUACUCUCUUUACUGAACAG
ensembl:lncRNA